rnacentral:rRNA from 1 species
GAGAUCCUACGGGACGCAGCAGUAGGGAAUUUUCAUCAAUGGGCGCAAGCCUGAACGAGCAAUGCCGCGUGAACGAGGAAGGUCUUCGGAUCGUAAAGUUCUGUUGAAGGGGAAAAAGAGCGGAGAGAGGAAAUGAACUCCGAUUGAUAUUACCCUUCGAGGAAGUCACGGCUAACUACGUGCCAGCAGCCGCGGUAAUACGUAGGUGGCGAGCGUUAUCCGGAAUGAUUGGGCGUAAAGGGUGCGUAGGCGGCCUGCUAAGUCUGGAGUGAAAGGUACCGGCUCAACCGGUACGGGCUCUGGAA